rnacentral:lncRNA from 1 species
GAGGACUGGAUGGGCCCCCAGGAUUUCCAGGGCCACAUGGACAAGAUGGUCGGGAUGGACGUGCUGGAGAAAGAGGGGAUCCCGGGCCUCGAGGGGACCAUAAGGAUGCAGCCCCUGGUGAGAGAGGGCUUCCCGGACUGCCAGGCCCUCCAGGGAAAGCAGGACCCGAGGGGCCUCCAGGACUGGGAUUUCCAGGCCCACCAGGAGAGAGAGGCCUACCAGGAGAGCCCGGGCGCCCAGGCAUGAGAGGCUUCGAUGGCAUGAAGGGGCAAAAAGGUGACUCCAUUCCAUGUAAUGUAACCUACCCGGGGAAACCAGGUCCGCCAGGUUUUGAUGGACCUCCAGGUCUGAAGGGGUUUCCAGGACCCCCUGGGGCUCCUGGUAUGAGAUGUCCAGUUGGACAGAAAGGUCAGCGGGGCAAACCGGGAAUGCCUGGAAUUCCAGGUCCACCUGGUUUCCGUGGUGUCGUGGGAGAUCCAGGCAUCAAAGGUGAAAGGGGGACCUCCCCUUUUGGACCCCCAGGUCCACCUGGGCCUCCUGGAAUGGAUGGCCAGAAAGGAAUGCCAGGAGACUCUGC